rnacentral:rRNA from 1 species
CCUACGGGUGGCUGCAGUGGGGGAUAUUACACAAUGGGGGAAACCCUGAUGCAGCGACGCCGCGUGUAGGAAGACGGUCCUCUGGAUUGUAAACUACUGUCCCCAGGGACGAAGAUGACGGUACCUGGGGAGGAAGCUCCGGCUAACUACGUGCCAGCAGCCGCGGUAAUACGUAGGGAGCGAGCGUUGUCCGGAAUUACUGGGUGUAAAGGGAGCGUAGGCGGGGAUGCAAGUUGGGUGUUAAAUCUACCGGCUCAACUGGGAGUCGCACUCAAAACUGCAGCUCUUGAGUGAAGUAGAGGCAGGCGGAAUUCGUAGUGUAGCGGUGAAAUGCGGAGAUAGUAGGAGGAACACCAGUGGCGAAGGCGGCCUGCUGGGCUGUUACUGACGCUGAGGCUCGAAAGUGUGGGGAGCAAACAGGAUUAGAUACCCGAGUAGUC